rnacentral:misc_RNA from 1 species
UUUUUAUUGACACAACAAAACGCGAGAUAUCAGAGAAACCAAAAACAGAACCCAACACAGAGAAACAAAGAGAAGAAAAAGAAGAAAGCAGAAAGACAUAGGUUUCACUUUUGAUUUUCUUUGACUGUUUAACAACACAGAGAAGCAGACAAUGACCCAAAGCACACUUUAGUUAACAAGCCAGCUCAAUCCCUCCAAAAAGCCCCAACUCUGAUUCGCUUCUUCUAAGCCAAUCAAACAAUCCAACCCAUUUAUGUACUUUUGCCUCAUGGAAAUUCCUUCUCUUUUUCCUCCAGCCUGAAUUUUCUCCUAAAAAAGAUGGACUUCAAUCAUAUCUUCAUUCGGGU